rnacentral:rRNA from 1 species
CGAACGGGUGAGUAACACGUGGGCAGCCUGCCCAAAAGAGGGGGAUAACACUUGGAAACAGGUGCUAAUACCGCAUAACCAUAGUUACCGCAUGGUAACUAUGUAAAAGGUGGCUAUGCUACCGCUUUUGGAUGGGCCCGCGACGCAUUAGCUAGUUGGUGGGGUAAAGGCUUACCAAGGCAAUGAUGCGUAGCCGAACUGAGAGGUUGAUCGGCCACAUUGGGACUGAGACACGGCCCAAACUCCUACGGAAGGCAGCAG